GAUGAAGAACGUAGUGAAAUGCGAUAAGUAAUGUGAAUUGCAGAAUUCAGUGAAUCAUCGAAUCUUUGAACGCACAUUGCGCCCGCCAGUAUUCUGGCGGGCAUGCCUGUUCGAGCGUCAUUUCAACCCUCAAGCCCAGCUUGGUGUUGGGGAUCGGCACAGGCGCCCUCGGGCGCCCGCCGUCCCCUAAAUCUAGUGGCGGUCCCGCUGCAGCCUCCUCUGCGUAGUAGUUUUCUCCUCGCAAGGGCAGCUCGGUGGCGACCUCGCCGUAAAACCCCCAACUUCUGAAAGGUUGACCUCGAAUCAGGGAGGAAUACCCGCUGAACUUAAGCAUAUCAAUAAGCGGAGGA
rnacentral:misc_RNA from 1 species